GUUGGGUGGGGUGGCACAUGCCUGUAAUCCCAGUGGCUCAGGAGGCUGAGGCAGGAGGAUCACAAGUUCAAAGCCAGCCUCAGCAACAGUGAGGUGCUAAGCAACUCAGUGAGAUCCUGUUUCUA
rnacentral:sRNA from 1 species